rnacentral:sRNA from 1 species
AAAAAAAAAUGAAAAAGGAGAG